UGAGGAAUAUUGGUCAAUGGACGAGAGUCUGAACCAGCCAAGUAGCGUGAAGGAUGAAGGUUCUAUGGAUUGUAAACUUCUUUUAUACGGGAAUAAACGAAUCCACGCGUGGAUUUUUGCAUGUACCGUAUGAAUAAGGAUCGGCUAACUCCGUGCCAGCAGCCGCGGUAAUACGGAGGAUCCGAGCGUUAUCCGGAUUUAUUGGGUUUAAAGGGAGCGUAGAUGGGUUGUUAAGUCAGUUGUGAAAGUUUGCGGCUCAACCGUAAAAUUGCAAUUGAUACUGGCAGUCUUGAGUACAGUUGAGGUAGGCGGAAUUCGUGGUGUAGCGGUGAAAUGCUUAGAUAUCACGAAGAACUCCGAUUGCGAAGGCAGCUUACUAACCUGUAACUGACAUUGAUGCUCGAAAGUGUGGGUAUCAAACAGGAUUAGAUACCCUGGUAGUCCACACGGUAAACGAUGAAUACUCGCUGUAGGCGAUAUACAGUCUGCGGCCAAGCGAAAGCAUUAAGUAUUCCACCUGGGGAGUACGCCGGCAACGGUGAAACUCAAAGGAAUUGACGGGGGCCCGCACAAGCGGAGGAACAUGUGGUUUAAUUCGAUGAUACGCGAGGAACCUUACCCGGGCUUAAAUUGCAACCGAAUAUGGCGGAAACACUAUAGCUAGCAAUAGCGGUUGUGAAGGUGCUGCAUGGUUGUCGUCAGCUCGUGCCGUGAGGUGUCGGCUUAAGUGCCAUAACGAGCGCAACCCUUGCCGAUAGUUACUAACAGGUUAUGCUGAGGACUCUGUCGGGACUGCCAUCGUAAGAUGUGAGGAAGGUGGGGAUGACGUCAAAUCAGCACGGCCCUUACGUCCGGGGCUACACACGUGUUACAAUGGGGGGUACAGAGGGCUGCUACCACGCAAGUGGAUGCCAAUCCCAAAAACCUCUCUCAGUUCGGAUUGAAGUCUGCAACCCGACUUCAUGAAGCUGGAUUCGCUAGUAAUCGCGCAUCAGCCACGGCGCGGUGAAUACGUUCCC
rnacentral:rRNA from 2 species